AUUGAACGCUGGCGGCGGGCCUAACACAUGCAAGUCGAGCGGAGCUGCGGACGGGUGGGUAAUUCCUAGGUAUCUGCCUGGUAGUUGGGGCUAACGUCCGUUAACGGGCGCUAAUCCAACAUACUCUCAGCUGAGCCUAGUUCGGAUUAGCUAGUUGGUGGGGUAAAGGCUUACCAAGGCGACGAUCCGUAACUGGUCUGAGAGGAUGAUCAGUCACACUGGAACUGAGACACGGUCCAGACUCCUACGGGAGGCAGCAGUGGGGAAUCUUCGACAAUGGGCGAAAGCCUGAUCCAGCCAUGCCGCGUGUGUGAAGAAGGUCUUCGGAUCGUAAAGCACUUUAAGUUGGGAGGCGUUACCAACAGAAUAAGCACCGGCUAACUUCGUGCCAGCCGCCGCGGUAAUAC
rnacentral:rRNA from 1 species